GGCACACUGCUGCUAACUGUACUAGCCGCCAUUAGCUAGUUACCUAACUGGGGGACCCAGUGGGAGGAUGCUGCCGUGGAGCGGCAGUGGAGCGGGGCCGAGAAUGAGCACCAGAACCAGAGCCGGGGGCAAGUGUGCAACGGAACACGGUUCAGCAGCCUCCCAGUGAACACAGCCGGACCGGGACCGAACACAGGCUCUGAGACCAACUGAGGCCAGUUUGACUGAGGUAAUUUCCAGCGGCUCCGACCAGGACUCUGACUCCAGGGAUGAGGAAGACACGGCGGGGACAGAAGAGACAUGAAGCGGCAGAGGAGCGAGUUCAUUUGCCAAAGCAGCCCCUCCAUAUCCUUGGAGCAACUGAACUCUCAACAGCAGAUAAGCCUCAAUGGAGCAGAGUAGAAAGUGGGAGCUCUCCUAUUCAGAAUAGCAGGCGCUCACCUGAAGACAGCAAUCAAAGGGGCGUAAAUGGAGUCUCCAUCAUAGACGUACAUGUGGUCCCAGCUGCACUCUGUGGCAAAGUGAUUGAAGCGCAGCCUGAGUACUGCAUUAGGACUGGGAGACAGGGAGAGAGAGGAGACUGAAUAGAUGGCAUGCUAGGAGAUGAGGGGAACUCCAUGGCAAGCUUGGACCUGGGACAACUACAGCUCCCAGGAGCCUUUGCCAGCAGCUAGAGGAUAGCUCAGAAACGAGGCUGGACUUCAACUCUCUAUAGUGUCACACUGUACAGCCUUGCCACAGCUAAUGCAUGCAGAUUUAAGAUUUAAUGGGCUUAAAUGGCAACAGUAAGCAAAUCAAAUUACACUGGUAUUAGCUUUUAAGGAAUAACAGCAGUGAUGUGUCCAGACAGUGGGCAGUGACACCCAGACUGUCUCCUUCCCUGACUGAAUUGCACAACCAAAGUUAAGUAGACUGUCCAGUCCCCUAAAAGAAAGGAAUAAAAUUAAGUUAUCAGCUGAACUGAAAGGUCAGUGUGUCUUACAGGACAGGAUGCAUAAAAAAGCCUUGUAUUGAUUUUCUCUUUCCUACUCCUCCACUACAACAAGACAGACAUUCACUAACCACCGGACUGCACAACAGCGUGGUGACGCAUUCAUACAAGAGAGAAACAUGUAAUCAAAAACAACCACAGUCACACACACAACCACGCAUACAAAGACUUUCAGUGACAGAGUCGAGUCAGCUGAGAGUGACAUCACUGUUAAUAACAAAAACACGUACACGUUUUUGUUUAACUUGACUGUGAGGGACUUCCACUGACUGUUUUCAUUCCCUAACCCUUUAAUCGUAACCUGAACCCUUCACACUGCACGCCUGUUCUUAAACAUUAUCAUAAAUUAGCCUGUUAAAGAAGGGAGAGUUGUCCAGAAGUGACUUCACUUCGAAAAAAUGUCCUCCCUUGUUUAAAAAGACACACACUGUGUUUGAAAAGAAAAAUAUGAAAAUUCACAGGCUUGAAAAUCCUCCAAGAAUACUACCACUCCUUGGCUAUAUAGUCUUAGAUGACCAUAUUUAGAAAAAACUUUUCAUGGCAGUGACUCAUUCAAAUGAACUGUUAAAUUCACAACAAUGUACAACACACUGGAAUCCCAUCUCAGCCCAGUCAAAACCUUCCCUAUGUCCUAACCUUCCCUAUAUUAUUCAAUGCAAAAAAUGUAUGUAAUCACCUUCUAACAUUUUAAAACAUUUUAUUCAUCUUCACUGUUCAAUCAAAUGUCAUUGGUAGCCUUCUGCCCCAGGUAUAAAACCAUUAUGAUGGUCAUUAAUAAGGUGAAUACAAGUGACUGGCAGUUUGCAGGAUUUUCUGGUUCCUUCUCAGUCAAGAAACAAGACUAAGAGUCUACAGCCCAACAACAAGAAGCAACAACACAUGGAGGAAAAGUCAAGGGGAUUACAAUUCAUCCUGAGGGGAACAUGAAUGUCUGUACCAAAUUUAUUGGCAAUCCAUCCAAUAGGUGUUGAGCCUUUUCACUCAAAACCACAAAUGUGAACCUCAUGGUGUACUAGAGAUAAAGUCAGAAUCACAAUAGUCAUUAGGAUAUAUCCUCCCGGGACUACGAACGUCUAUGUACAAUUUUGUGCCAAUUGAUACAGUAGACGUUGAAAUAUUUCAGAGGAUAAGUGACAACUUUUACCUGUUGGUGGUGCUACAGGAAAAGUCAGGUUAUCACCAAAGUUAUGGGUUCAUCCUCUGGGCACCAUGGAUUUCUGACCAAUAAUUGUUAAGAUAUUUCAGUAAGUGUCACCCUGCUGGUAGCACUAGAGGUCAAGUCAGGGGAUCACCAAAGUCAGUAAACGUCAUCUUCUGGGGACCAUGAAUGUCUUUACAAAAUU